AUUGAACGCUGGCGGCAUGCUUUACACAUGCAAGUCGAACGGCAGCACGGGGGCGAACCCUCGUGGCGAGUGGCGAACGGGUGAGUAACACAUCGGAACGUGCCCACGUUGUGGGGGAGUAACCUAUCGAAGGUAGGCUAAUACCGCAUGAGCUCGGCAAGAGGAAAGCGGGGGACGUCANCGAUGGGCCUCGCGCGACUGGAGCGGCCGAUGUCCGAUUAGCUAGNGGUUGAGGUAACGGCUUACCAAGGCGACGAUCGGUAGCUGGUUUGAGAGAACGACCAGCCACACUGGGACUGAGACACGGCCCAGACUCCUA
rnacentral:rRNA from 1 species